rnacentral:rRNA from 1 species
UGCAAGUCGAACGGAAAGGCCUAGCUUGCUAGGUACUCGAGUGGCGAACGGGUGAGUAACACGUGGGUGAUCUGCCUCGUACUUCGGGAUAAGCCUGGGAAACUGGGUCUAAUACUGGAUAGGACCAUGCUUUAGUGUGUGUGGUGGAAAGUUUUUUCGGUACGAGAUGAGCCCGCGGCCUAUCAGCUUGUUGGUGGGGUAAUGGCCUACCAAGGCGUCGACGGGUAGCCGGCCUGAGAGGGUGGACGGCCACAUUGGGACUGAGAUACGGCCCAGACUCCUACGGGAGGCAGCAGUGGGGAAUAUUGCACAAUGGGCGCAAGCCUGAUGCAGCGACGCCGCGUGGGGGAUGACGGCCUUCGGGUUGUAAACCUCUUUCGCUAGGGACGAAGCUUUUGUGACGGUACCUAGAUAAGAAGCACCGGCUAACUACGUGCCAGCAGCCGCGGUAAUACGUAGGGUGCGAGCGUUGUCCGGAAUUACUGGGCGUAAAGAGCUCGUAGGUGGUUUGUCGCGUCGUCUGUGAAAUUCCGGGGCUUAACUUCGGGCGUGCAGGCGAUACGGGCAUAACUUGAGUGCUGUAGGGGAGACUGGAAUUCCUGGUGUAGCGGUGGAAUGCGCAGAUAUCAGGAGGAACACCGAUGGCGAAGGCAGGUCUCUGGGCAGUAACUGACGCUGAGGAGCGAAAGCAUGGGGAGCGAACAGGAUUAGAUACCCUGGUAGUCCAUGCCGUAAACGGUGGGCGCUAGGUGUGAGGGUCUUCCACGACUUUCGUGCCGUAGCUAACGCAUUAAGCGCCCCGCCUGGGGAGUACGGCCGCAAGGCUAAAACUCAAAGGAAUUGACGGGGGCCCGCACAAGCGGCGGAGCAUGUGGAUUAAUUCGAUGCAACGCGAAGAACCUUACCUGGGCUUGACAUAUGCAGGAUCGGCGUAGUGAUACGUUUUCCCUUGUGGUCUGUAUACAGGUGGUGCAUGGUUGUCGUCAGCUCGUGUCGUGAGAUGUUGGGUUAAGUCCCGCAACGAGCGCAACCCUUGUCUUAUGUUGCCAGCACGUGAUGGUGGGGACUCAUGAGAGACUGCCGGGGUUAACUCGGAGGAAGGUGGGGAUGACGUCAAAUCAUCAUGCCCCUUAUGUCCAGGGCUUCACACAUGCUACAAUGGUCGGUACAACGCGCUGCGAGCCUGUGAGGGUGAGCGAAUCGCUGAAAGCCGGCCUCAGUUCGGAUUGGGGUCUGCAACUCGACCCCAUGAAGUCGGAGUCGCUAGUAAUCGCAGAUCAGCAACGCUGCGGUGAAUACGUUCCCGGGCCUUGUACACACCGCCCGUCACGUCAUGAAAGUUGGUAACACCCGAAGCCAGUGGCCUAACCCUUGUGGGGGGAGC